rnacentral:rRNA from 1 species
ACGGGAGACACACGGCGGGUGCUAACGUCCGUCGUGAAGAGGGAAACAACCCAGACCGCCAGCUAAGGUCCCAAAGUCAUGGUUAAGUGGGAAACGAUGUGGGAAGGCCCAGACAGCCAGGAUGUUGGCUUAGAAGCAGCCAUCAUUUAAAGAAAGCGUAAUAGCUCACUGGUCGAGUCGGCCUGCGCGGAAGAUGUAACGGGGCUAAACCAUGCACCGAAGCUGCGGCAGCGACACUAUGUGUUGUUGGGUAGGGGAGCGUUCUGUAAGCCUGUGAAGGUGUACUGUGAGGUAUGCUGGAGGUAUCAGAAGUGCGAAUGCUGACAUAAGUAACGAUAAAGCGGGUGAAAAGCCCGCUCGCCGGAAGACCAAGGGUUCCUGUCCAACGUUAAUCGGGGCAGGGUGAGUCGACCCCUAAGGCGAGGCCGAAAGGCGUAGUCGAUGGGAAACAGGUUAAUAUUCCUGUACUUGGUGUUACUGCGAAGGGGGGACGGAGAAGGCUAUGUUGGCCGGGCGACGGUUGUCCCGGUUUAAGCGUGUAGGCUGAUUUUCCAGGCAAAUCCGGAAAAUCAAGGCUGAGGCGUGAUGACGAGGCACUACGGUGCUGAAGCAACAAAUGCCCUGCUUCCAGGAAAAGCCUCUAAGCAUCAGGUAACAUCAAAUCGUACCCCAAACCGACACAGGUGGUCAGGUAGAGAAUACCAAGGCGCUUGAGAGAACUCGGGUGAAGGAACUAGGCAAAAUGGUGCCGUAACUUCGGGAGAAGGCACGCUGAUAUGUAGGUGAAGCGACUUGCUCGUGGAGCUGAAAUCAGUCGAAGAUACCAGCUGGCUGCAACUGUUUAUUAAAAACACAGCACUGUGCAAACACGAAAGUGGACGUAUACGGUGUGACGCCUGCCCGGUGCCGGAAGGUUAAUUGAUGGGGUUAGCGGUAACGCGAAGCUCUUGAUCGAAGCCCCGGUAAACGGCGGCCGUAACUAUAACGGUCCUAAGGUAGCGAAAUUCCUUGUCGGGUAAGUUCCGACCUGCACGAAUGGCGUAAUGAUGGCCAGGCUGUCUCCACCCGAGACUCAGUGAAAUUGAACUCGCUGUGAAGAUGCAGUGUACCCGCGGCAAGACGGAAAGACCCCGUGAACCUUUACUAUAGCUUGACACUGAACAUUGAGCCUUGAUGUGUAGGAUAGGUGGGAGGCUUUGAAGUGUGGACGCCAGUCUGCAUGGAGCCGACCUUGAAAUACCACCCUUUAAUGUUUGAUGUUCUAACGUUGGCCCGUUAUCCGGGUUGCGGACAGUGUCUGGUGGGUAGUUUGACUGGGGCGGUCUCCUCCUAAAGAGUAACGGAGGAGCACGAAGGUUGGCUAAUCCUGGUCGGACAUCAGGAGGUUAGUGCAAUGGCAUAAGCCAGCUUGACUGCGAGCGUGACGGCGCGAGCAGGUGCGAAAGCAGGUCAUAGUGAUCCGGUGGUUCUGAAUGGAAGGGCCAUCGCUCAACGGAUAAAAGGUACUCCGGGGAUAACAGGCUGAUACCGCCCAAGAGUUCAUAUCGACGGCGGUGUUUGGCACCUCGAUGUCGGCUCAUCACAUCCUGGGGCUGAAGUAGGUCCCAAGGGUAUGGCUGUUCGCCAUUUAAAGUGGUACGCGAGCUGGGUUUAGAACGUCGUGAGACAGUUCGGUCCCUAUCUGCCGUGGGCGCUGGAGAACUGAGGGGGGCUGCUCCUAGUACGAGAGGACCGGAGUGGACGCAUCACUGGUGUUCGGGUUGUCAUGCCAAUGGCACUGCCCGGUAGCUAAAUGCGGAAGAGAUAAGUGCUGAAAGCAUCUAAGCACGAAACUUGCCCCGAGAUGAGUUCUCCCUGACUCCUUGAGAGUCCUGAAGGAACGUUGAAGACGACGACGUUGAUAGGCCGGGUGUGUAAGCGCAGCGAUGCGUUGAGCUAACCGGUACUAAUGAACCGUGAGGCUUAACCUU